rnacentral:lncRNA from 1 species
UUGCAAGCCAGCUGAUACGGUAGCAACCAAAGAUUCCAGUGUUUGAGCAUAUGAAAGACUCUGCCUGCUUACCUGUGCUAGAAAUAACAGCAUCUAAAGUGAAGACUUUAAGAAAAACUUAGUGACUACUAGAUUAUCCUUAGGACUCUGCAUUAACUCUAUAAUGUUCUUGGUAUUAAAAAAAAAGCGCAUAUUUGUCACAGAAAUUUAGUUAACAUCUUACAACUGAACAUGUAUGUAUGUUGCUUAGAUAAAUGUAAUCACUGUAAACAUCUAUAUGAUCUGGGACCCUGAAGCGGAAAGGCAUUCUUUCAUUUUUCUUCUUUUUUUUAAUGACCUGCAGACACAAUACCUCGUGCUGCAGCACGUGCCAGGACUUGGUAUUGUAACUUCUGCAGCUUCAAACUAACCGCUGGACUGAUUUUGAAUAAGAAUGAAAGCGUUAAAGGGUUUAUCUAUAAAAUGAAGCUAUUCUUUAAAUUCCUGGUUGAUGGGCAGAUUGACUCCUAAUCUUGGAGAGCAUCAUACCAUGAGAGAUUCUUGUGAUUGGUGAUCCUCCCCAGCCCCUACCCAUUUCUAUAAAUUAUCUGCAGUUUAUCUCUCAGUCUUACUGUGGCUCUUUUUCUGACCCAAGAAAAAAGCUUUCUAUGAUUAAUUCUUUAGUGUAGCGUGAA